UAUAAGGGAUUUUGAGUUUUUGCUUGCAACGUUUGACCACUCGUCUUAUUUAAAAUUUUUUGAAAUUAUUAAUUAUUUUAUUUGUGACUUACUUUAUUAUCUACAGUACUUUAAGCACAACUUUUCGUAUUUUAUAUUUGCAAAAAAAUUUGAAUAAGACGAGUGGUCAAACGUUGCAAGCAAAAACUGAAAAUCCCUUAUA
rfam:Oryza sativa Japonica Group DNA, chromosome 6, cultivar: Nipponbare, complete sequence.